GACGAACCGUACAAACGUUAUUCGGAAUCACUGGGCUUAAAGGGUGCGUAGGCGGCGGCGCAAGUUGGGUGUGAAAUCCCUCGGCUCAACCGAGGAACUGCGCUCAAAACUGCGUUGCUUGAGGGAGAUAGAGGUGAGUGGAACUUAGGGUGGAGCGGUGAAAUGCGUUGAUAUCCUAAGGAACACCAGUGGCGAAAGCGACUCACUGGGUCUCUUCUGACGCUGAGGCACGAAAGCUAGGGUAGCGAACGGGA
rnacentral:rRNA from 1 species